AUGUCACCAACUAUGAAAACAUCUUCUCCAGGUUCAGAGUGUUUUGAAUCGUUUGUGCCGGAAUCAGAUAAUCAGAUGAAUCAUGAUACACUACCAUCACCUCCAUCCCCAUCUAGCUCGACAAUAUCUCCUGUUUUCCCAUUGCAUGAUAUUAAGGAACCAAAUUCACAUAAAGAGAUCAAAGUUGAUGAGACAUAUGAUUAUCUCCCACAAGACUAUACAUUGACCGACCAUGAUCUAUGUGCUCAUAUAGCAAUAGAAUCAUCUUUGAGAAAACAAUUGCUGGUUCAGAUAGAUGGAAGUUCUGUCUUGCAACAUCAAUUGAUGUGCCUGCUAGAUGAGAAAGAGUGGGUAAAUGAUGAUGUGAUCAAUGCAUAUAUAUGUUGUAUAAAGGACCAAAUACAUCUCCAGAAUGAUAAUAAAGUAUAUUUUGAGAGUCCAUUUGUUACCUCACUAUUUAAACGAGAUGGCACCAUUGGAAUACAAGAAGGUAGUGCCUUCAUGACAGAGAUUGUCCUCGAAUAUAUGCAGCAUGACAUGAUUAAACUUCCAAUAAAUGCCAAUAACACACAUUGGUAUUUAGUUGUUGUGAAUACAAAAAAAUGUGAGGUUCAAGUUCUAGACUCAUUGUGCUGGAAUUCUGACAGAGAUGAUCUUGCUAAUACGCUACGAGGAAUACAAUUUCAUUUGGACCUUCUUAAAAGUCAAAAGUUGGUAAGCGACGAUUGGAAAGACGUUGAUCUUACUGAAUGGAAGAUCACAGAACAAUUACAAAAGGCAAUUCAAAAAGAUAGUUCUUCAUGUGGUUUAUUUAUGGUUAAAUUUAUGGAAUAUUUCACCGGAUGUGCACUAUCCUACCCAAUUACACAGGAAAUGAUUACUUCUUUUAGGUUUAAGUUAGCCAGCAUACUAUUAUGUUGGAAAACAAACACUGCAGCAAUGACUACAAUCGUUGAAGAAAGUGACGAUGACAGCAAGGGAGAUCCUGAUGAUGUUCAAAUAUUGGAAAGUUUAGAUGAUAUAAAAAAACAAAAACAAAAAUCCCAUUAUAUGUUGAAAAUAAAUACAGAUCACUAA
rnacentral:rRNA from 1 species